CUGAGUCGGACAGAGAGGAUUGCAGUGAGUGAGUUGACAUCGAUCAGGAGGACCAUGUUGAGAAGAUGCCAGUCAGUGCAGAACAGGAUCAGACCAGGAGUACUCGGAGUACGUCAACUCUGAGUUUAGAGCGUGCAUGAGUACUACAAAAAGCUACAGAAACAUGUAUGGAGCGCCGACAAUAGGAUUCGCCAUGGAAACAGUCGACAAGAAAAGUGCUUCCUUUUUCACCUCAAUGGAAUUGGAAAUUGUAAUCCGUGCCUAUGGUGAGUCCGAGCACAUAUUAAAAAAAAAAAAAAAAAAAGGAACAUGGCUGUAGCGCCGAAGGACAGACAGUUGGCGUGGGAAACAAUUGCUGACCGAGUCAAUGCGUGCAAUCCAACAGGCGUGAAGCGCACUUGGCAACAACUUAAAAUGAAAUAUACAAACAGGUAGGGCAUAUUUAGCCUUUUGGCCCAUAGGUUCGUAAUUGUAGCUUCCAUUACUUUUGUAUUAAUCAUAUUUGACAUAUAAAGUGAAUAUCCGUCAGUGCCUAUUUUAUCCUGUAGUGACAGAAACACACAAUGUCCUGUCGACUGAUAUCCUGCUUAAUAGAUUAUCGUUGAGUUCAAUUCAGCAAAUAGAAAGAAGGCAGAGACAUGUAAAACGGGUGGAGGGCCACCUCUGACCAAUGCAGAAGAACUGGCUCUGAGCCACAACAUUGGGCGUCCAGUGGCUGAAGGCAUCCCUGGAGGAAGCUCAUCAGAGCCUAUCACCCCACACGACACAAGUGCCUACAUAAGAUGUAAGUAUGUGCCAUAAUGUAUGUGUGUGUAUGUAUUUUCAUUUUCCACUCAAGUCCACUUCUAGGCAUCUAGGUUAUCCAUGUUGUCGAGCGUCCUGCAAGCCUUUGCACAACAGUACCCCUUCCACUUGAUGAGAAGGAUGAGGACACAUUGACUGCUGCCACAGACAGGGAUGCAGAGAGGCCUACACACAUGAGCAGGCGCGCUUGUUCCAUGGCAGAUUGCUAUUCUGAUGGCGGAUUUGCCAGGCGCGCGCCAGGAGCAAUUCACCGCCGAGGAGACCGACGUUCUCGUCAGGGCCGUAAAAGACAACUAAAUUAAAUUGUAUGGGGAUGGGAGAAACCCACCCAAAUUAGCGUCUGUUAAACAGGCAUUAAAGGAAAUUGCUGCAAUUGUAUCCAUGGCUGGCACUCCCAGGACAUCGCACCAGUGCCGCAAGCACUACAACUAUGUCAGAAGACGGGGGAAGUGCAAGCUUGCUGGCAACAAUAGGACACGCCGCAGGACUGGAGUUGGAUCUGCCUCUACACAGGACCUGACGCCAGCAGAGGACAUCGCUGCGUCCACCCUCACCGCUGAAAGUGUUGAGGGGUUUGGGGGCUUUGAAAUCGGCACCCAAUCCGAUACACAAGCUGUCCAACCCCAAGGUGCAGAGAAUCAAGACACUAUACGCCGUGGCAGCGUGGCCAGACCGGAGGACCACCCGUUCCUGCAGCUCCAGCAAACCGGGUUUGACAAGCUGGAGCUGUCCGAGACGCGGAAAACCAUCAAUGCCCGCCUUGACCGGGUGGCGAUGUUGCUGGAGCCUCUUUGGGUGCAUUGCCGCAAGCUUGAAGAGGAUUGCUGCAGCCAUGGAGCGUGGGUCUCCUGAUCAAUUAUCUGCCCCUCCCUCCACCUGUUGUGCCCCUUUCUCCGCCUCCCCCCACUCCAUCUAUCCGCUCCACCAGGAGCACAUCGGGCAUUGCCACUCUGGAAUAUGUCAGAUCCCGACGCAUGCCUGUCAGAGGACAGAAGAAGAAUUAGUUUCUGUUAAAAUCUUUUGAACUUUUUAUCUCAGUUUGUAUU